CGAGGCCGAAAGGCGUAGUCGAUGGGAACGGGGUGAACAUUCCCCGGCCUGUGGGUAGUGACGGCGGCCGUAAGUUGUCUUCCCUUACUGGAUUGGGAAGGCCGCGAAGGACGUCCAGGAAACAGCUCCCACGUAUAGACCGUACCCGAAACCGACACAGGUGGACUGGUUGAGCAUACCGAGGCGUUUGAGAGAACGGUAUCGAAGGAACUCGG
rnacentral:rRNA from 1 species